GCAGUGGUGGUUCAGUGGUGGAACUCUCGCCUUCCGUGCGGGAGCCCGGGGUUCGGUUCCAGCCAAUGCG
rnacentral:tRNA from 1 species